GAGAUAAAAUGUAUUUAUCAAAUCUGUAUAAUCAUGCCAAAGUCUGAAUUACUGUACAUUUUUUGUAUGCUGUUAAAAUUGUAAUUGUUAAUUGUAUUUUUAAUAAUUCUCAUGUUUUUAUGUUAUCUGCGAUGAAAAUUGGACUCUAUACGUAUGAACUAUGCCACUUAAAAUUUCUAAUAAGUAUUUUUUCUUUUGAUACUUAUAAUUGGUCAUUUCUGCUGGCUUUUCUCCAAUGAACUUUGAAAUCUGUCUUUAUGCUAUCAAUAAGAAACUACCCUGGAACGCUAGAAAAAAAAUCCAACAAGAGACUUGCUUUCAUCAAGCACUCCUCAGACUUUAAGAGAAAGCACUGACGGCAAUGGAGACGGCCGCUGACUGUCAUUCAUCUCCUUUUUCUCAAGAAGGAAACCAUGGAAAAGCAAGCCUCUUUUCAGUGAACCCCUAGCUUGGGGUUGGGGGUGUUAGAGACAUUGUGAAAUCAAACUUUGUGUUAUAUUUUUCUCCUGGUUCGCUGUUUUGAGAAGGUUUGUGGGCUAUUUGGCUGGUGAGACACGCUCCCCUCCUAAGAAAAUGUAGGUGCUCAGACAGGUAACCUCUGCCGCUGUUUGUUUGUCUGUUUGUUCGCUUUAUUCACAUUGACUUCUGUUGUGCUAGGAUGUAAAUCAUGUAAUACAUCGUAGGAUUUAUAACCAGGGUCACUGCUUUCUUUUGUUUCUUAAAAAGAAAAAAGUUUCACAUAAAAUACAGUCUAGGUCCCUUGGAUUUGGAAUGUUUAGUGAUGGACAGAAGUCUGCUGUUGGAAUCAUCUAGUCUUCCAGAUUAGAUUGGAAAUGUUUUCAUUUUGUUUUGGUUUGGGGGUUUGUGUGGUAUUUUAUUUCCUUUAUCCCAAUGCACUUUGCCAUGCCUCCUGGGAUGGCUGCCUAACUCUGGUGACAUUUUUUUUUUCCAUGUUAACAAAAGUUUGGUUUUUAGAAAUUCCUUAAUGUUUUACAUUUUAAAAAUUGUUUUUGAAGAAAUAUUCUAAUUGCUUGCACUGUUACUGUUCUUUGCCAGCCUUUUCAGGAGCCAAAAUAUACAAAUACAAACAAACAAAAAAUACUCAGAGAAAACACUUUCCUUCUUCCCCCCUCCUGAUGAUGAGUGAGAAGUUUUGAGAGCUUUGGGGUCAGUGCCCUUCUAAACUUCCCCUCCCCCAGUAAUGCAGCUGUGCAGUGGUGCUAAGUGCAGCGGCUCGGACCAGGCACAGCCCAGCCUGCUGGCAGGUGGCGUAUGUGUUCGUGUUUUAUUGUAUUCAGAGCCAUUGGGCAAUAAGCAGUCCAGAACAUUGAAAUCUCAAGCAGCAGAGAGAUAAACGGGUAGGUGGCAGCAGAGAAAGGAACUCUUGAGAGAGGCUGUUGACGUUAACCCUGCAUAGGAGAAGAAACAGCAUGUGACGUACGGAGUGGAGCAAGGAAGGGCAGAGACGAAAGCGGAUUUAGGGUGGCUGCCUCCUUACUCUGAAUGGUUCUUUUGAAAUAACCAGUGCUAUUCUGGAUGAAGACAGAUUGGAGUUCACUUUUUAAAGUGGAAGAAUAACACAGAAUAAGAAGUCAGUAGUUCUACCUUGUUGGAUUCAGUGUGGUUUCUUUUUCUAAAAUAAAAGCACUGACUGGAAAUGAAA